rnacentral:rRNA from 1 species
GACGAACGCUGGCGGCGUGCUUAACACAUGCAAGUCGAACGAUGAAGCCCAGCUUGCUGGGUGGAUUAGUGGCGAACGGGUGAGUAACACGUGGGCAACCUGCCCCAAACUCUGGGAUAACUCCUCGAAAGAGGUGCUAAUGCCGGAUACGAACUAGACAGACAUCUGUACUAGUUGGAAAGUUUUUCGGUUUGGGAUGGGCCCGCGGCCUAUCAGCUUGUUGGUGAGGUAACGGCUCACCAAGGCUACGACGGGUAACCGGCCUGAGAGGGCGACCGGUCACACUGGGACUGAGACACGGCCCAGACUCCUACGGGAGGCAGCAGUGGGGAAUAUUGCGCAAUGGGCGAAAGCCUGACGCAGCGACGCCGCGUGAGGGAUGAAGGUCUUCGGAUCGUAAACCUCUUUCAGUAGGGACGAAGCGAAAGUGACGGUACCUAAAGAAGAAGCACCGGCUAACUAUGUGCCAGCCGCCGCAGUAA